GUCCCUGUCUACUAUCCAG
rnacentral:snRNA from 1 species